UACGGGGGGGCGAAGCGUUGUUCGGAAUUACUGGGCGUAAAGGGCUCGUAGGUGGCCAACUAAGUCAGACGUGAAAUCCCAGGCUCAACUUGGGAACUGCGUCUGAUACUGGAUGGCUUGAAUUCGGGAGAGGGAUGCAGAAUUCCAGGUGUAGCGGUGAAAUGCGUAGAUAUCUGGAGGAAUACCGGUGGCGAAGGCGGCAUCCUGGACCGAGAUUGACACUGAGGAGCGAAAGCCAGGGAGCAACGGG
rnacentral:rRNA from 1 species